UGGGAACGUUUCCACCGAACAGUGUCUUAAAAGUGUUAUAAAACCGAACACAGGCGAUCAUGGAAGUCUUCAGGAGUUUCUGUGUCCGAAAAUAGUUCCAAGAAUUCGAUGAAUAAACACCGCUGCCUGUGUUCAUGCGAACAAGACCUCAUGGUCGUCCAUAGGAAAUGAGGCCACCCAGACGAACACUUAGAACACUUCGGUGGAAAUUGC